rnacentral:rRNA from 1 species
UACGUAGGGCGCAAGCGUUGUCCGGAAUUAUUGGGCGUAAGAGCUCGUAGGCGGCCUGUUGCGUCCGCUGUGAAAUCCCGGGGCUCAACCCCGGGCCUGCAGUGGAUACGGGCUGGCUAGAGGCAGGCAGGGGAGAACGGAAUUCCUGGUGUAGCGGUGAAAUGCGCAGAUAUCAGGAGGAACACCGGUGGCGAAGGCGGUUCUCUGGGCCUGUACUGACGCUGAGGAGCGAAAGCGUGGGGAGCGAACAGG